rnacentral:lncRNA from 1 species
CAGCCCCCCCAGUGCUUCAAAGUGAGCCAUUACAUGUCCCCAGAACAUGCUGGAGCUCCAUAAUGGGCAUUAAUAACCAUCUUCUGCUGUAGCACAUGCGGCCAGGAGGCAGGUCGCACUUCAACAGUACAAAACAGCGGUGCCCUGAUGACAUGUUAACAGCAUUUCAGAUGCGUUGUGAUACUCGGCCUGUUCAAGCUUCAAGCUUAUCGACACUCGCCUGUUGUAUGUGAAAAUAAUAUGUUUGAAUAAAUUCACAGUUGCUAGGAAUGAAAGACAAUCAUUGUGUUAGAAUCUAAGCUGUUAAAUAUUUUGGAAGAAAUUGAUUUUAUGCAUUUUAUAAAUAUUCUGUCAAAAUGCUGUGUUAAUAUUGGCUGAGACUUGACAUACUUGUUUUUGUUUUAUAUGUUACAUAUAAUCUUAAUUGUUGUUAAAAGCUGGAAUUUAUAGUUAUAAGGUCAAAUCGUCCAAGUCAAUAUGUUGAUCCAUUCGACAAUGUCAAGAUAUCUAAUUGACUCGUGAUUGUGAGAAUAUUGUGCCACUGAAAAUAUUUGACUUUGUCAUUAUAGUUUGCUGUUUGUAUUUCUAUACACAUAUCUGAGCUAAAGAGAAACAUUUAGCUCUGGAUGUACAGUUAAGUAUUGAGGAGAUAGUGAAGUUGUGUGCAUUGUUUAUAAAACUUUUUAAGUGUGGCUAGAAGAAGGAGUUUUUCCUUUUAUAACAUUUGUCUUUCUCACAAUCCAAAAACAAAUUAAAUCUGGGUACCACCCAUGACAUGUAAUACAUAGAUGCUAAAUCUGCUUGAGGCUUUUUUAGGGAGUCCAGUCAGAACGAUGUUACAGUCAUCCAACCUACUAGAAAUGAAACUGCGGAUUCAUUUUUCCUCUUAUUGUAACAUUUAAAAAAAGUUGACAAUUAUAGGUCUUUGGAUUGUAGGGUUCUUAGGCAAACUGACUUUUAAGGUAUUUGCUUACAAGAGUCUCUUUCUCUGUGUUUCCAAAGACAAUAACAUCAGUUUUUUUCCCCAGAAACAUUUGCUUCAACUGAGACUGUUAACUUGCUCUAGACAGUGAAACAGUGCUAAAUAAAUUUAUGUGUCAUCUGCUUAACUGCGGUAACGGGCAUUAGCAUUCUGUAGAAUUAGGCAGAGAGGCAACAAAGAAGAAGCAUAUACAAACUUUUUCAAUGGUCACAAAAUAACUUUGUGUCUUCGAUUAAGAUCUGAAAGAUACCGAGACAGUUCCACUGUGCCGACGUGUCAAGUCUGUUUAACAGUAUAUUUUGGUCUGCAGUGUGAAAUGCAGCACCUAGAGCCAGGCCAGAACUGACACUGUGUACCUGAUUGUAACAGAUGCUAUAUGAAUAAAGAUUGAUUGAUUACCUUGUAGGGUUGCAGAAGACGUCUGGCAAAAAAUUAUUUAUACAAAGCAAU